GGGAGAGGAGAGGAGAGGAGUGGAGUGGAGUGGAGAGGAGAGGAGAGGAGGGCAAGCUGCCAGAUUGGGAACUCGAACUGUGGUUGACCUUGUGGAAGUCCACUUUAACCACCACACCACCUGCUGGCCCCAAGACU
rnacentral:miRNA from 1 species